rnacentral:miRNA from 1 species
AGGGUGUGGGUGUUUUG